rnacentral:rRNA from 1 species
GACGAACGCUGGCGGCGUGCUUAACACAUGCAAGUCGAACGGGCAUCAAGAGGUAGCAAUACCUCGGAAGUGCUAGUGGCGAACGGGUGAGUAACACGUGAGAAACCUGCCUCGAAGACGGGGAUAACAGGUGGAAACAGCUGCUAAUACCCGAUAUCUCUGCCUGGGUCGCAUGGCCUGGCAAAGAAAUGGAAUCCGCUUCGAGAGGGUCUCGCGGGCUAUCAGCUUGUUGGUGAGGGAACGGCUCACUAAAGAGACGACGGGUGGCUGGUUUGAGAGGACGACCAGCCACACUGGGACUGAGACACGGCCCAGACUCCUACGGGAGGCAGCAGUGGGAAUCUUGCGCAAUGGGCGAAAGCCUGACGCAGCGACGGCGCGUGGAGGACGAAGGCUCUCGGGUUGUAAACCCCUUUCAGCAGGAACGAAAUUGACGGUACCUGCAGAAGAAGCCCCGGCUAACUACGUGCCAGCAGCCGCGGUAACAC